rnacentral:rRNA from 1 species
CAUGAAGCUGGAAUCGCUAGUAAUCGCAGGUCAGCAUACUGCGGUGAAUACGUUCCCGGGUCUUGUACACACCGCCCGUCACACCAUGGGAGCCGGAGAUGCCCGAAGCCAGUGACCCAACCUUAGGGAGGGGAGCUGUCGAAGGUGGAGCCGGUAACUGGGGUGAAGUCGUAACAAGGUACC